UACGGGGGGGGCAAGCGUUGUUCGGAAUUACUGGGCGUAAAGGGCUCGUAGGCGGCCAACUAAGUCAGACGUGAAAUCCCCAGGCUCAACCUGGGAUCUGCGUCUGAUACUGGAUGGCUUGAAUCCGGGAGAGGGAUGCAGAAUUCCAGGUGUAGCGGUGAAAUGCGUAGAUAUCUGGAGGAAUACCGGUGGCGAAGGCGGCAUCCUGGACCGGCAUUGACGCUGAGGAGCGAAAGCUAGGGGAGCAAACGGG
rnacentral:rRNA from 1 species